rnacentral:rRNA from 1 species
UGGUGGAGUGAUUUGUCUGGUUAAUUCCGUUAACGAACGAGACCUCGACCUGCUAAAUAGUUUAGUGAAUGUUCGCAUUCGUCUGUAACUUCUUAGAGGGACUAUCGGUGAUUUAGCCGAUGGAAGUUCGAGGCAAUAACA